CCAGGCACUGACCGGUUUCCAGGCCUAAAUGAGAAUCUGAGGUGGAGGAAGGAGCAGACACAGUGGCGGCAAGCUAACGAGAAGCUGGACAAGUGAGUCGCUCUGCACUGCCUUCCCCAACAGUCCUAACUCUUGUUCUCAGGCUGCUUGUGUUACGAGACAACUGCAUCCUUCCACAGACAGCUAAGAAAAGGAAACAUAGUGUCUGUGUAAAAACAGCUCCAGCUACCCAGGAUGCCCAGAGAUAUAAG
rnacentral:lncRNA from 1 species